rnacentral:lncRNA from 1 species
CCAAUGUAAACUUUUAGUCUGUGAAGAUUUCUGGGCACUGAACAGAACAACUCUGCUAGAGGCCAUGCGUUUCCCAGAGCACAGCUUUGAGCACCAGACAGCUACUUAGACAUGGGUCUACACAGAUCUGGAAAGUCGAUGCCUUUUGCACCACCUCUUUUAAUGCAUGUUACUUUACUAGUGAGACAGCACUUCAAUCCCUUCAUGCCCUCUGAACACCACUUCGGGGAUCAUUUGGAAGAUGGAAAGUAGCUCUACACCACAUGCAAGACGGAUACUUCUCCACUCUGAGCAGCACUGCACUGCGAAUAUUAUCAACUUCAAAAAAACUCGUGCAAAAUCCACUGCGUAAACUUCAGACACAUUUGAUUUCAUUUUGGUCUCAGGGCUCCCCUCCUUCCACAUGCAAUCAGCUGAUUAAAAAUUGACAUUUUCAGUACUUUAGUUUCACAAUGGACUUAGGCCCCAAUCAUCUAUAUGCGACUCUGCAAGGACUUCUGAGGUACAGUACGUUAAAU